UCUUUUGUUCUACUAUAGAAUGAGAAUGAAGAUAAUGUUGAAGAUGGGGAAGAAGAGGAUGAUGAAGAAGUGACAUUGUUAAUGGAGGAUGAUCAUGAAUUGAGUGACAUUGAUCUUGGAGAUGAUGAAUGAUGAAUUGAAUUUUAUGUUUAUUGACUUUAGUCUUUUUA